rnacentral:rRNA from 1 species
AUUGAACGCUGGCGGCAUGCCUUACACAUGCAAGUCGAACGGUAACAGGUCUUCGGAUGCUGACGAGUGGCGAACGGGUGAGUAAUACAUCGGAACGUGCCCGAUCGUGGGGGAUAACGAAGCGAAAGCUUUGCUAAUACCGCAUACGAUCUACGGAUGAGAGCAGGGGACCGCAAGGCCUUGCGCGAACGGAGCGGCCGAUGGCAGAUUAGGUAGUUGGUGGGAUAAAAGCUUACCAAGCCGACGAUCUGUAGCUGGUCUGAGAGGACGACCAGCCACACUGGGACUGAGACACGGCCCAGACUCCUACGGGAGGCAGCAGUGGGGAAUUUUGGACAAUGGGCGAAAGCCUGAUUCAGCCAUGCCGCGUGCAGGAUUAAGGCCUUCGGGUUGUAAACUGCUUUUGUACGGAACGAAAAGACUCUGGUUAAUACCUGGGGUCCAUGACGGUACCGUAAGAAUAAGCACCGGCUAACUACGUGCCAGCCGCCGCCGUAACAC